CCUACGGGAGGCAGCAGUGGGGAAUAUUGCGCAAUGGGCGAAAGCCUGACGCAGCGACGCCGCGUGAGGGAUGAAGGUCUUCGGAUCGUAAACCUCUGUCAGCAGGGAAGAACGGUCAUUGUGCUAAUUAGUAGCGAAUCGACGGUACCUGCAAAGGAAGCACCGGCUAACUCCGUGCCAGCAGCCGCGGUAAUACGGAGGGGGCGAGCGUUAACCGGAAUUACUGGGCGUAAAGCGCUCGUAGGCGGUAUGUCAAGUCAAGGGUGAAAUCCCCGCGCUCAACGUGGGAACUGCCUUUGAAACUGGCAGACUGGAGUGUGUGAGAGGAUAGUGGAAUUCCAGGUGUAGGAGUGAAAUCCGUAGAUAUCUGGAGGAACAUCAGUGGCGAAAGCGACUAUCUGGCACAUAACUGACGCUGAGGAGCGAAAGCGUGGGUAGCAAACAGGAUUAGAUACCCGUGUAGUC
rnacentral:rRNA from 1 species